UACGUAGGGUGCGAGCGUUGUCCGGAAUUAUUGGGCGUAAAGGGCUCGUAGGCGGUCUGUCACGUCGGGAGUGAAAACUCGGGGCUCAACCCCGAGCCUGCUUCCGAUACGGGCAGACUAGAGGUAUGCAGGGGAGAAUGGAAUUCCUGGUGUAGCGGUGAAAUGCGCAGAUAUCAGGAAGAACACCGGUGGCGAAGGCGGUGAGCUGGGCAGUUGCUGACACUGAGGCGCGACAGCGUGGGGAGCAAACAGG
rnacentral:rRNA from 1 species